CACGUAGGGCGUGAGCGUUGUCCGGAAUUAUUGGGCGUAAAGAGCUCGUAGGCGGCCUGUUGCGUCCGCUGUGAAAGCCCGGGGCUUAACCCCGGGUCGGCAGUGGAUACGGGCAGGCUAGAGGUAGGUAGGGGAGAAUGGAAUUCCCGGUGUAGCGGUGAAAUGCGCAGAUAUCGGGAGGAACACCGGUGGCGAAGGCGGUUCUCUGGGCCUUACCUGACGCUGAGGAGCGAAAGCGUGGGGAGCGAACAGG
rnacentral:rRNA from 1 species